rnacentral:rRNA from 1 species
GACGAACGCUGGCGGCGUGCCUAAUACAUGCAAGUCGAACGCAGUGGGGACGGGUGAGGAACACGUGGGUAACCGCACAUCAGAGGGGAUAACACUUGGAAACAGGUGCUAAACCGAUACUGAUGGAUGGACCGGCGGUGCAUUAGCUAGUUGGUGAGGUAACGGCUCACCAAGGCCACGAUGCAUAGACGAGCUGAGAGAUUGACCGGCCCCACUGGAACGGGAACACGGCCCAGACUCCUACGGGAGGCAGCAGUAGGGAGUCUUGGGCAAUGGACGGAAGUCUGACCGAGCAACGCCGCGUGAGUGAAGAAGGUUUUCGGAUCGUAAAACUCUGUUGUUAGAGAAGCGUUAUCUGACCAGGAAGCCCCGGCUAACUACGUGCCAGCAGCCGCGGUAAUUC